rnacentral:rRNA from 1 species
GAUGAACGCUGCCAGAAUGCUUAACACAUGCAAGUCUACUUGAACUUCGGUUUGGGUGGCGGACGGGUGAGUAACGCGUAAAGAACUUACCUCACAGUUAGGGACAACAUUUGGAAACGAAUGCUAAUACCUGAUAUUAUGAUUUUAGGGCAUCCUAAGAUUAUGAAAGCUAUAUGCGCUGUGAGAGAGCUUUGCGUCCCAUUAGCUAGUUGGAGAGGUAACGGCUCACCAAGGCGAUGAUGGGUAGCCGGCCUGAGAGGGUGAACGGCCACAAGGGGACUGAGACACGGCCCUUACUCCUACGGGAGGCAGCAGUGGGGAAUAUUGGACAAUGAACCAAAAGUCUGAUCCAGCAAUUCUGUGUGCACGAUGACGUUUUUCGGAAUGUAAAGUGCUUUCAGUUGGGAAGAAAAAAAUGACGGUACCAACAGAAGAAGUGACGGCUAAAUACGUG